AUGACUGCUGUACAGUGGAAAUAUCGAUCAUCUUGAUAAAACCUCAGUAUAUCAUCAGAAACAACAGGCCACAUUUUCAGCUAAAAAUCUUCUUUGCUGUUCUGCUGAAGAAAAAUACUCAUGAACAUCUUGGGUGGUGUAAGGAUCUUUGCAGGAUUCAGUUGCAUAUCUCGGAUCUGAGUUCUGCGCAGCACUGGACACAGACUCUGCACUUUUGACAUUUUCUAGAAAAAAGGAUUUUAAAUUUCACAUCAAGUUAAUUAAAAGUCAUCUGAUGUUUCCACUGCAGUACUUCAGGGCCUUUCAGUCAUCCUGGAGGAUGACCCACAGGAAUUUUACAGGAUGUGUUUCGAUGUGGAUGCAGACUUCAGUCAAGCAGUUGUAGACCUGCUCACAGUUCUACCAGAGGACAUGCCCUCAUUGUGGAUGCAAUAAAGGCAAUCAUGGAGGGAAGAAUUGUCAUGGAUGGGUUUUAAAGGCCUGUAUUUUAUUUUUGCUGUUCUGUUUGCAUGCCAUUCUGAAAAUGCUCUAUUGUUUAACAGUGUUCCAGUGGGUCCAGAUAAUGUUAUGACAACAAAGUGCUGUUUAGUUAAGAAGUCUGUAAAGAGUAUUAUAAGAACACAGAUGUUUUAAAAGCUAAUUUUUAUUAUUGUGAUAUUCUUAAAGUUUUUUACAAAAAUAAACUGUUGAGAAUUUCAAACUUGUAUUAAGUUCAUUUCAUGCUGGUUGAACGAAUAAAAAUACGUUCAGUUUACUUAAAGAAAAUGUGGAAACCGAUUGCACAAAAUGUUUUAAGUUCCCAUAGCUUAAAAUGGCAGAUUAAAUCCAUGUUGAGAAUAACAGCAUUUAAGAUGUUUGCACAACACAAAAUAACACUGCUAGGUAAAUAGAAUUAAUAAAGUAAUCUUACUAUUAAAUCUUAAGUAAGAUUAGUAAAUGUCCUGGAGUAUGUUAACUAGAAAUGACAUUAAACCUACUUGAUAUUUAUUAGUUAAUUUACUCUGUAAGAGUUUGCUUUCUUUACUUUAAACUGAUUAUUAAAUUAACUUUAGUUUUACCUUUAAGUUUGCUUUAACAAAAUAAGGCAAUUGGUUUCCAAACUUUUUUUUAAGUAAGCUGAACUUAUUAGGAUUUACAGUGUACUGGACAGGAAGUUCAGCUACUAGUUUGUGAUGUCACAAGUACAGCCAAGUAAAUACUAUUGCAUGGCCAACAAUUGAAUUUCACUCACACUGUUUUAAUGACCCUGACAACGAGUGCAUUCAGCAUUGGGGAAAAAAUGUGCAUAUUUUUACUCAAAAAUAAUAUGUUUAUGGUGUGUUUCUUGUAUAUUUUGAAGACACCCUUAAUUAAUUUGUAAUAUACUUGUAAUACAAACAAAGUACACUUUAAUAUCACUAAUCAAGCAUGCAAUUAGCUUACAGCAUAUACUUACUUAAAGUAUACUAAGUAUACUUGAAGUUGUUCCAAUUUAGCACAUAAAAGUACACUAAAUACACUUACAGUUAUGCUUUACUACAAUUUAAUUACAACUAAAAUAUACUUAGCACAAAAUUAGUUGUUCCAAAAUAGCACACUUCAAGUUAACUAAUCAGUAACACACUUGAAGUAUACUGACAAUUAGUCUGGCUGCAAGUAUACUUAGCAUAUUUUUUUUUCA